UUUUUUUUUUUUUUAAUGUUUCUGAUGUCAAACACUUCCGCUUUGAGAAUUCUUCCAUCAUCUUCUUUAUAGUUCUCUCCUCCAUAAGAUUAAGCUCACCUACCCUCUGAUUCAUUCAGUAGGAUGAGAGCUGCCCUAAAUUACUGCCAUUCUUAAAACUUCUUGGCUCCUACUCACCAUGUAGGCCAUCCCCUGCCUCUGCCUGCCCCAUCCAUGUUUUCCAUGAGUGACCUAAACUACUACUGCCUGGAAGUCUUAGCUUCAGUUUAUUUUUAUUUUCCUUUCACAAACUAUUGUUUACAUGGUCUCCACCCCCUUUGUAGAAGAUCCUCCUUCUAUGGUAGUAAAAGCCAAGUAGGGAAGUGAAGAAAGCUACCUGGAUUUGGAACCUGUGACUGAAAGAUAUAGUGACUCUUGCCCAUAUGUUGUGCAGUGCAUGAAGCCAGAAGAUAAUUUUCAAAGCCCAUCUCAAGCAAGGCUCCAAAAGUGAAAAUGGUGGUGAUGGGCCAAAAGUUCACCAGAGCAAAGGAGUGUGAUCCAUAGAUUCCCACGGGAUGGUGAAUAGUCAGAGUAUAAAAGGGACAAGACAAAUCUGAUCCAUGAAUGGGAGCCCAAAGAGAAUGACCAGAGGAGCUGGGCCACAGUAUGCUGCUGGGUUUUCAUAAGCAUAUAGAAGCAUAUUAUCCUAGAUUGAUUUUUAUAGGUUUUUAUGGAUAUUUUCAAUGAUUAAUGGAGACCAUCUUUAAAAUGAGUAGCAGUGAAAUUUAAUCUAUCCUUUCCACUUCAGUGGAAUGUGAGCUAAAUGGAUCACCUUGGACUGGUGAGUUCAAUCAGGAUUUGUAAAUAUUUACUUAUUUAUUUAGUCUUUUUGCCAUUUCUUGGGCCGCUCCCACGGCAUAUGGAGGUUCCCAGGCUAGGGUGGCACAAGAAAUGGCAAGAAGACCAAAAAAAAAAAAAAAAAAAAAAAAAAAAAAAAAAAACACCACAAGUACAAACUGUAACCACUAAAUAUUAAGGGGUCCUGUUCUUCUUUAACUGAGUGUGUUCCAUGGCAUGGCCCAUGAACACAGAAACGUUAAGUCAGCUCUGGGCUUUAUUCAAGUUAUUAGAAGCAUCUCAGCUGAUCUUCCACCAUAUCCUCAAAGUGACCUUUCUGUGCCUCACAUUUGAAACAACUUAUGAAAACUGUUCCAUAUGUCAAACUUCAUUUCAUUCAAUUUUCUCCUGGUUGAAAAUUGACACUAAAGAUGUUUUGUCUUUCAGAACAUUUUCCUUUGGGAGCCAAAGGCCCGAUGAUGUAUAAUCCUUCCUGAAGGUUUUAUGGCAGGGCUUCACAAAGCAAACAUUUUUUUCCUCUUAUUCUAUAUCACCCUGACAAACAGAAAUGCUGAGCCAUUUAAUUACAGAGCCUGCCUGACACAUCCAGAGAGUCAAAUAUUCCAGCAGCAUCUAGCUGAAGGGGAAAAAUGCACUGAAUUCCCCGAGUUGCUUGUCAAGACAAUGACACCAAGGAAACUAGUAAAUAAUCUGGCAGGUCAGAGGGUGGAUACUACGGUGUGCCAGAGUGGUCCCCAUGGCUCUGUGUCAGCACCAUUAGCCCUGUAGCAUCUCAUCCCAUGAUGGUAAUACAUGAUCUGAGCUUUAGGCUGAGCAGCCAGGAAAUGAUGAGAACACAGGUCAGAACGAAGGUCAAGCCACAGGCCCAUAGAUCAUCUCUUGAUCUGGGUUUUACAGAAAUGUCCAGAUUGAGAGCUUGCACUCUUAAUUCUCAAACUAACUCACAAAAAGAAUCUGCACAGAUACAACUGAAUAUUCGUCCCUCUAUAUCCAAGAUGUGACAGACAGUCCCCAGGACCAGGCACGAGUGCACUGAGAUAUUAUGUCCUAUAAUGUUUCAAAGCUCCAACACAUAAUCAAAAUAUCUUAGGUUACAUCUAUUUAACGCCCUUUCUAUCCCUUUAGAAUAGUUAAUCCCUGUGAUAAUUUCCAGUCCAUUUUAUGGCAAUAACUAAAGUAUGAAAGUCACUCUCUUGAAUGCUUCUUGUUUGCAUGAUUUAUAUUUUUCUUUCUUUCUUCUAUCAAUCAUACAGUAAAAAGAAAGAAUAAAAGUAGACCUCCUAUGAAUCAGGCACUAAUCUAAGCACUGGAUUGAGCAGUGGUGACAAGGUCACUACAUUUAAGGAAAUUACAUCCGAGAGUCAGGAGGCAAAAUAAACAUGUAAUAAGAUUAUUUUGGGGUUGUAUAUGUUCUGAAUAAAAUAGUCUACAGAGUGAUACAGAAUAGAGUGGUGGGAUGCUUUCUCAGGAUGGCCAGGGAAGUUCACGUUGAAGUGAUGAUUGUUAACUUGAGAUAUGAAGGAUGAAAAUGAUAAAAGGAGGCAGCCAAGAACUAUUUGGGUGAAGAAUGUUGCAGGAAAAAGAAAUAACAUGUGUAAACGCCCUAAGACAGAAAUGAGAGGGGAUGAGCUUUAUGGAAAGAAAGGUCAGUGAGGUCAGAAAGUAUUGAAUGAAGAGUAGAGUGGACGGAAAUGACACAGGGGAGGUUUUCAGAGGACAGAUCAUGUAAUGCAUUGGAGGCAUAUAUUUUGAAAAUGAAGAAGUAAAACUGCCUUUAAUCACAAACAGUAUGAUCCCAGUUGCAUAAUACUCCAUAAAGAUUAUACCCCAAACCUAGUAGAGCCAAUAACAAAAUUUAAGAAUAGCAUAAGGUCAGUGCAUACUGCAUUUCUACAUACUAGGAAAGAAAAAUUCAAAAGUUCGGUCAAGAUAAUUAUAUUCAAAAAAUCGAAAGAAUUUAGAGGCUUACUAAUGCUUUUAACAAAAAAGCACAAAAGUCAUACAAUGAAAACUAUAAAAUAUUGCUAAGAGAAAUUUUUAAAGAUUUAUAAAAAUUAAGAGACAUUCCAUAUUAGAGACCAGGAAGACCAAAUAUUUUUAAGAUAAUAAUUCUCCCCAAAUUCAUCUAUAAUCCAAUGCUGUCUCUAUUAAAAUCCUAGCAGGCUUUCUCAUAGAAAUUAACAAUCUGGUCUUAAAAUUUAUAUGGGAAUGCAAAAAACCUAUACUAAAUGAAAUAAUUUUGAAUAAUUCAGUUUUUAAGGAUAUACCAUCUGACUUCAGGUAGUGGUGGCAUUAGAACAGACAUUUACAUCAAUGAAACAUCAUCUAGAUUUCAGAAAUAUAUCCUUAUAUUGUGAAUAAUUUAUUUUUGACAAAGGUGCCAAAUUCAAUGAAAAAGAACUGUAUUUUCAUAAAACUGCUGAAACAACUGAACAUCCAUAUUAAAAAAAAAAUUUGUCCUUAUUUCACACAACACACAAAGGUAAGCUCAAAAUGGAUCAUAGAUGUAAGUGAAAAAGCUGAAACUAUAUAUGUCUUUUAGAACAAAAUGUUGGAGAAAAUCUUUUCAAUUUAGGUUAGGCAAAUAUGACACUAACUGUAAGUUAUAAAAGAAAAUACUGAUAAAUUGAACAUUUAAAAAAACAUAGAUACUGCAGAAGACACCACUAAGAAAAUAAAAAGGCUAGCCACAGGAGAAAAUGUUUUUAAAUCACAUAUCUGAUAAAUGUUGUACCUGUCGUAUAAAUGUACAAAGAUCUCUUACAGUUCAAUAACACCAAAAAAGUCAGUUUUAAAGUGGGAAACAUUUACAUACAAAUGGACAAUAAUAACAUGAAAAGUUUCUCAACACGUUUAGAUAUCUGGGGAAUAAAAAUUAAAGCCACAAUGAGACAUUACUAUACACUCAUAGAAUGGUCAUAAAGAAAAAGACAAUCAUAAGCAUUCAGGGCAUAUGUGCAGAAAACAGAAUAUUUCAUCCACUGCUGGUGGAAAUGCAAAUUGGUACAGCCACGAUGCAAACAGGUAGGCAGUUUUUUAAUUGUUAAAUGUAUACUUACCACGUGAUCCAGCAAUUUCGCUUCCAAGUAUUUACUCAAGAGAAAUGAAAACCUAUGUUCACAUCAAGAUUUGUUCACUAAUGUUCAUAGCAACACUUUUCAUAAUAACUC
rnacentral:lncRNA from 1 species